rnacentral:rRNA from 1 species
AGUGAACGCUGGCGGUAGGCCUAACACAUGCAAGUCGAACGGCAGCACAGUAAGAGCUUGCUCUUACGGGUGGCGAGUGGCGGACGGGUGAGGAAUACAUCGGAAUCUACUUUUUCGUGGGGGAUAACGUAGGGAAACUUACGCUAAUACCGCAUACGACCUACGGGUGAAAGCAGGGGAUCUUCGGACCUUGCGCGAUUGAAUGCGCCGAUGUCGGAUGAGCUAGUUGGCGGGGUAAACGCCCACCAAGGCGACGAUCCGUAGCUGGUCUGAGUGGAUGAUCAGCCACACUGGAACUGAGACACGGUCCAGACUCCUACGGGAGGCAGCAGUGGGGAAUAUUGGACAAUGGGCGCGAGCCUGAUCCAGCCAUACCGCGUGGGUGAAGAAGGCCUUCGGGUUGUAAAGCCCUUUUGUUGGGAAAGAAAAGCAGCAGGUUAAUACCCCGCUGUUCUGACGGUACCCAAAGAAUAAGCACCGGCUAACUUCGUG